GAGUUGACAGCCCCAAGGACGUGGAGAGUUUCAUCAGGCCCUGAAUUGCUCUCGGACCUGUUAAUGUGCAGAGUUGAAGACUGCUAAUGCUGUCACCAGCUUCAGGACUGUUUACUGUGAAGACAGAAAUCUGUCUCGUUGCACUUACAAGAUAACUAAGAUGACCCAAGAGAAGCCUUUUAUAUAAAUACAUAUAUCAAGGUGUUUUGAAGGCUACUCUUUUCAUUCAGAUCUAUGACUACAUGGAAAGCUGCGUUUGCAUGUGAAGACUCCUGAUUCUGAUAAUGUCGUGACUUACCCGGAACUGUUGCUACCUGAGGUAACAUUUCCUUGACCAAACCYACUUUUAAGUAUUGUAGUCUCUUCCUUGAGCCAGCCGGGGUGAUCCUCGGUAGCAUUCAGCAAGAUGGAACAUGCAAUGGAGGGACAACUAAUACGAGCRCUUGGCAUUUAUUCUAACCUAUUAGUAAGCACAAUCAACUGUUGGAAAAGCUCACAGAAUUGGGUACUUCUACAUUUUUUUCUCCCAAAGACUUCUAUUAUUUACUGCCCUCUUCCUAAUCCUCC